UACGUAGGGGGCAAGCGUUGUCCGGAUUUAUUGGGCGUAAAGAGCGUGUAGGCGGCCAGGUAGGUCAGCUGUGAAAACUCGAGGCUCAACCUCGAGACGCCGGUUGAAACCAUCUGGCUAGAGUCCGGAAGAGGAGAGUGGAAUUCCUGGUGUAGCGGUGAAAUGCGCAGAUAUCAGGAAGAACACCCGUGGCUAAGGCGGCUCUCUAGUACGGUACUGACGCUGAGACACGAAAGCGUGGGUAGCAAACAGG
rnacentral:rRNA from 1 species